AACAAAUCUUAUCUACAUCUCGGUAUGCCUCUUCUCUCACUUGUCUCUCGGUUCUUUCAUAACCUGCUUCUCUCUCAAUUUUCUACCACAACCUCACUCUCAUAGGUCGAACCUCACAGAUCUAACCUCUCACUUACAAAUCGAAGAUUAAUCAUAACCGUCUCAAAAUCAAAGCUCAUAUAUCAGCAGAAAUCAAAAGGAAACCCUUUUUGUAACCCUGUAUCUAGUUUAAUUAACGGGAAGAAGAAGAUAUCGAACUAGAGAUUAAACUCAUUUAUAACUUUGAUUUAGUUUUUAGUUGAGAUUAUUGUUAUUUUAUUAGAUUAUAUUUGCUUGGUAUUGGUUAAUUCGAUCUGAAUAUAUCGAUUCAUCAUUAGCGACAUCAUCUACCAUUAUUGCUGCUAUUUCUGGUGGUGGUGAAGACUCUAAGAAGAAAAUUUCCUCAGGAGUUUUAAAGCAUGGGUUUUCUUCGAAAUUUGAAACAUCAGCUUUGGUGAUUUCUACUCACAAACCCGAAUAUGUUGAUUCCUUGCCAUUAAUCUCUAAACAAGCACUUUAUUUAAACAUACUGGAAGACGCAGAGUUCACCAACAACUUCAUUGAUGCAGAGAAGACCCUAUAUCACCUAAUCAGUAUCAAAAUCUCAAAGGUGGUAGCUAUUUUGUAUACCUUUGUGCAGAGGGAUUUCUCUUGAUGAUAAGAAGAGUAGUUUAUGUGGUUGCUGGGUUGGGGGCAUUGUUCCUGUACUCUGGAUUGUUGGUACUGUUAGUGGCAAUGAUGGUGAGUCCACUUUAGAUAUCUUGCAGGAUUAACCUGGAUAUAUAUACUGAUGCAUAUAUGAGAACAUAAGGUACCAUGUUGCCCAUUUUAAUAUUUUUGUAGGUCAACAAUUCUUGAUAUUAGAACUGUUGGAAUCACAGAUAACAAGUAUGCAUUCGGGAUCUUAGUGUUUAUACUUCUAAUAAAGUGUGCAGACCUAUCUCCCAAUAUUAGCGCCUUCGAAAAAUAACAUUUCUUAAUCUGUAGAGCGCUCAUUAGCUUUGGUGUGAUUCCGAUGAUGACGGGGAUUAGUUGGCAUUUAUUGGUCACAUUUUGCACACUUCAUGUGGCACAAAGAUUCAAUGUUUCUAAGACCAAGGCAAUUGGUACCGAAAUUGUAAUGCUAUUUAGUAUUUUUAAAUGGCGUGUCUACUGGACUUCUCGAUUUCUGUCUUGGGUUCAAUUCCAUUGGAUUCUACCAGAUGACGAAACUUGCAAUUAUACCCUUUACAGUACUGUCAGAGACCCUGUUCCUUAACAAGGUAUGCGAUUCUGAGUUGUGCGGCUCAGUUUGUCAUCAGAUAGUUUAUCGUUUUGUCAGUUUGUACUUAUCUUUAAGAAAACUUAUCACUUGUAUUGGUGCUGAUUCAGGUUUAGUUUACAAUUUUUGGUGAUUCUGAAUCUAAGCUAUGAUCAGUGUGUUGUACGUCUAAUGAAUUCUAACAUUUAUUGAAUGGGAAUAAUUUGAACUUAAGAAUGCAGGUUGUAUUUGAAUGUAAAUUGAACUUUAGUUUCU